UACAGAGGGGGCAAGCGUUAUUCGGAAUUAUUGGGCGUAAAGGGCGCGUAGGCGGCUUGGCAAGUGGAAGGUGAAAUCCCUCGGCUUAACCGAGGAACUGCCUUCCAGACUGUUAGGCUUGAGACCGGGAGAGGUGAGUGGAAUUCCCAGUGUAGCGGUGAAAUGCGUAGAUAUUGGGAGGAACACCAGUGGCGAAGGCGGCUCACUGGACCGGUACUGACGCUGAGGCGCGAAAGCGUGGGGAGCAAACAGG
rnacentral:rRNA from 1 species